GGGCCAAUGAUGACGAGGUUUCGGGAUUAUAAGUCACGGACGAUGACUACGUCACUAGAGGUCUGAGGUCCAUAGCAGAAGAUGCCUCAUGUGACCCUCUCAUGCAGGGGUUGCAUGUCAGGCAUGUGCAUACAGUAGAUAUUAGCCAUGCACUCUCACCAUUUCAUAGUAGAUCACAGAAUCAAGAUACAAAUCUCCAUGCACGGAAAGGAUUUAAGGCAUUGAUCAAUCCUGAACAUAAAUAUUUGGCCAUCAAUGAUAUUUACGCACACACUGAAAAAUCUAUUCAGAAUGACUUACACAAAGGUUUAUAUAACCUUUAUCAAAGGUAAUUUAUAUAGUAAGAUUCAUGGCUGAAGUCUUCAUGAUGGUCAAGGCCUUAAUUUUUAAAAUUAUCAAUUUUUUUCUUUUCUUUUUUUUUAACUUGAAUUUUUUUUUAAUGAAAACUAUCAUGACAAUUUGUCUCUUAAAUGAAAGGAGAAAUGUAAAACUAAAUGGACAAAUAUCAACCUUUUUAUUAUCUUUGCUGUUGUGCCCUCCCUGGAUGGGUGCUGGCACAUGAUGUCUUGCCUGCUGGUCCGUGGUUGCACUCUCACCAUGUGGAUGGAGCUCGGCAGCUGAAAAUGCAUUCUUCCACCAAGAUGAUUUACACAGCCUAGCUGGAUCAGGAGCCCCCUAAUAAGCUGCUUCAGAUUGUAAUAUAGACACAGUAAUGUAUGCCUGCAGGAUGAGUCCCACCUUCUUCAUUAGUCUUGAGGUUUGAGAUUCCCUGUUUGUGUCUGCAGGAUUCAGAUAGUAAUGGAUAUCCUGCAAGUCGGCUUCGUAGAGUCUCCCUUGAAAGUGGACCUCAUGAUCUAGCCUUUAUGUCCGUGGAUUGACACUGUGAUGGAUUCCCCCCAAGUUCAUUUAGAUAUUCUCUCUUAUUCAUAAAUGUCACGGUCAGCUCUGUUCUUAUAGAUACCAGAAUGGAUACCCCUAAGCUGAUGUAUAUACACCCUUCCUCGGUUGUGAGAUUCCUGCUCUGGUGGUUGUAGUCAUAAGAUAUACAUCGUUGCGUACACCUUGGUUGUGGGCACGCACACUACUGUUGAAUUACCACCUUGUCCAAGUGGAUGGAUGCCCUCAAUGGGAUUGGCACUUUCUCCAUUGCUCCUGCACUCUGUUAUCAGCACUUCGGGUUCAUAAUGUACACACAGCAAUGGAUUUUCUGCAGCUGAUUUUCUAUAUUCUGUUUUCUUCGGAUGCCUUCCUCACUGGUCACCAGGUUCAAGGUCCCUCAUAUGUGUCAGGUGCAUAGUCACCAACAAAGGCCAACUUCACAUCAAUGGGUGGAUCGUACCUCGGCCUAAGCUCCAGGAUUGAUUGUGCUGUUAGAGUCACAGCUACAACCGGCUCAGGGAACCCAGUGGAAGAGGAGGUGGAGUGUGAGAGCCAAUUGGAAUGGAAGACAGUGAGGAAACAAGGCCUUCGAGACACAAGAGGACUGCUGAGCUCACAAAGACUGAGGCAGCACCCUCAGGACCUGCACAGGUCUAAGCUUGAUGCGAUCUGAGUACUGAGAGGGCAACUGGACACAAUUCUAUAUUGAUAACCCAGAAGCUUUCUCCAGUUGAUAAACUCUUUCAAA
rnacentral:lncRNA from 1 species